GAACCCUUGGCGCAGCGGUAGCGCGUGAGAUUCCAGAGGUUGCUGUAUUCCAACGGCACUUCCGGGCGUCCUCAAGGUCAUCCGUUCAAAUCGGGUAGGGUUCA